rnacentral:rRNA from 1 species
AUUGCACGCUGGCGGCAGGCUUAACACAUGCAAGUCGAGCGAGCGGCGGACGGGUGAGUAAUGUCUGGGAAACUGCCUGAUGGAGGGGGAUAACUACUGGAAACGGUAGCUAAUACCGCAUACCAUCAGAUGUGCCCAGAUGGGCUUAGCUAGUAGGUGGGGUAAUGGCUCACCUAGGCGACGAUCCCUAGCUGGUCUGAGAGGAUGACCAGCCACACUGUAACUGCGACACGGUCCAGACUCAUACGUGAGGCAGCAGUGGGGAAUCGUGCACAAGGGGCGCAAGCCGGAUGCAGCCAUGCCGCGUGUGUGAAGAAGGCCUUCGGUUUGUAAAGCACUUUCAGCGAGGAGGCGUUACUCGCAGAAGAAGCACCGGCUAACUCCGUGCCAGCAGCCGCGGUAAGAC